AGAAGAAAGGAAAAGAAGAAAAGAAAAGAAGAAGAAGAAGAAGAAGAAGAAGAAGACAAGAAUUACAUGAUUACAAGAACUGGCCACAAGAAUUAAUUUACUGAGGUCCAAAAAACUGAGAGAUGUCCUAGAAAAAUACAAAAAAAAACAAGAAAAAUCUAGUUUGAGUGUCCUAGCUAGCUCAGAAACAUGUAUACAAGUCUGCUAAAUGAAUAAUGACACUAGAAAAGCCUCAAAAUAAUGAUAGACAAAUACAAGACUAAAUGUCCGAGCUAAAUAAUAAUAAUAAUAAUAAUAAUAAUAAUAAUAAUAAUAAUAAUAAUAAUAAUAAUAAUAAUAAUAAUAAAACAGACAGCUAAUUGAACAUACAUACAUACAUACAUUCUUAAGACGAGAGAGAGAGAGAGAGAGAGAGAGAGAGAGAGAGAGAGAGAGAGAGAGAGAGAGAGAGAGAGAGAGAGAGAGAGAGAGAGAGAGAGAGAGAGAGAGAGAGAGAGAGAGAGAGAGGAGGAGGAGGAGGAGAUAGACAACAUGAGAGAGGAGGAGAAGACAAGAUAAGGAGGAGAGGAGAGAGAAUGGAGGAAGAGGAGAGGAGAGAGAAUGGAGGAAGAGGUGGAGGAGAGGAGAGGAGAGAGAAUGGAGGAAGAGGUGGAGGAGAGGAGAGGAGAGAGAAUGGAGGAAGAGGUGGAGGAGAGGAGAGGAGAGAGAAUGGAGGAAGAGGUGGAGGAGAGGAGAGGAGAGAGAAUGGAGGAAGAGGUGGAGGAGAGGAGAGGAGAGAGAAUGGAGGAAGAGGUGGAGGAGAGGAGAGGAGAGAGAAUGGAGGAAGAGGUGGAGGAGAGAGGAGAGAGAAUGGAGGAAGAGGUGGAGGAGAGGAGAGGAGAGAGAAUGGAGGAAGAGGUGGAGGAGAGGAGAGGAGAGAGAAUGGAGGAAGAGGUGGAGAGGAGAGAGAAUGGAGGAAGAGGAGGAGGAGGAAGACAAAAUAAGAGGGAGAACAAGAGGACAAGAAGAGAGAAAGACAGGAGGAGGAGGGAGACAGAUGAAAAGGAGGAAUAAGAAGAGGAGAGAAAGAAGAUGGAGAAGAGGAACAAGGUAAGAUGAAGAAGAAGAAGAAGAAGAAGAAGAAAAAGAAGAAGAAGAGGAGGAGGAGGAGGACACACACACACACACACACACACACACAUAUAUACUGCAAAAACUACAAUUAACUAAUAUAAACUAACUAAAAUACAUAGAUUCUUCACAAAUAUACUUAGAAAAUACUUAAACUGGCAUUACUCAAUUGAAUUACAAACCUGACUUGAUAAAGACUUACUCAGACAAGCAAGUCACACAAGAAAAUACACAAUACACAAACAUACAUAGAGAAUCUUAAUUAAAAUGUCAAAAUUACAACAAUAGAAUUUUAAAACGCAGUAUGAUUUGAUUGUAGGGACGUGUGUGUGUGUGUGUGUGUGUGUGUGUGUGUGUGUGUGUGUGUGUGUGUGUGUGUGUGUGUGUGUGUGUGUGUGUGUGUGUGUGUGUGUGUGUGUGUGUGUGUGUGUGUGUGUGUGUGUGUG